rnacentral:misc_RNA from 1 species
GAGAGAGAGCAAAUGGGUUUUCUCAAUACGAGAAAUUGAACACUGACGGAAGAAGAAAGCCAUAGUUAUGGUGGAAGAGCCACUGAGAAUAAGAGAAGAAGAGUGCAAAGCAGCAGCAGGAUACUAUGGGCUUUGCGCUGUUAGUGGAAUGCUCAGUGCUGGCACCACCCAUCUUGCCAUUACUCCUCUUGAUGUUUUGAAAGUCAACAUGCAGGUGAACCCUGUCAAGUAUAACAGCAUUUACUCUUGUUUUACCACUCUAUUGAGAGAGGAAGGUCCUUCAGCGUUUUGGAGAGGGUGGGCAGGCAAGUUCUUUGGUUAUGGUUUUCAAGGUGGUUGCAGAUUUGGUUUGUAUGAAUACUUCAAGAACCUUUAUUCCAAUGUCUUGGUUGAUCACAACAGGAGUUUCGUCUUCUUUGUGAGUAGUGCUUCAGCUGAAAUGUUUGCCAAUUUAGCUCUCUGUCCUUUUGAAGCUGUUAAAGUUAGGGUCCAAGCACAGCCCCAUUUUGCAAAAGGAUUGCUUGAUGGAUUUCCGAAGCUUUAUGCAUCAGAAGGCUUCCAUGGGUAAAGUAGUAUAACUAAUUUCUCCAUUUUUUUUUAGGUCUAAUCGCUCCUUGCUUGUAUGUAUGCUUUAUUAUUAUUAUUAUUCUCCCUCUGAAAAGGUUAUUGCUUGUUAUUGUUAAUUGCAGCUUUUACAAAGGUCUUGUUCCACUUUUGGGUCGAAACCUUCCAUGUAAUUGCACGAUCCUUAAACUUCAAUUAUCUAGUUUUCUUUGAUAUUCGGGUUGCAUCUUUUUAAAGCAUGAGAUGUCCUUUUGCAUUGAGGUGUUGAGGCUGAGGGCAUUUAUUGAAUCUUUAGUUUGGCAUCUCAUUGAUUUUUUUUGCCAUUGUCAUGUGACCAGCAUUCAACCUAAAAAUAACAUUGUAGCAUGAUCUGAGAAGCAGGAUACCCUGAGAAAAAGAACUCUAAAUUGCAGUUGAACGCACAACAUUUAUAAUACAAAUUGUUAUAUUUACCUAUAUGCACUGAGCAUAUAUAAUUACUUCUUGUAUAUACGAACUUGAACACCAGAUGAGUGGCACAACUUCAAUAGAUAUCAUACCAGUGAAUUUAUUCUUUUUAGUUGUUCAAUACAUGAGGUACAAUGACGUUCUCUAACACUUCCUCUGCAGUCUCGAUGGUUAUGUUCUCAACAUUUGAGCAUUCUGUGGAUUUUCUGUAUUGUAAUGUCAUUCAUAGUAGGAAGGAAGAGUGCUCAAAGCCUCAACAGCUUGGGGUGACGUGUUUAGCUGGAUAUGCUGCUGGUUCUGUUGGUAGCUUUAUUUCUAAUCCUGCUGACAACAUUGUUUCUUGUCUUUAUAACAAAAAAGCUGAUAGUCUCAUACUGGUACCAUCUAUCAUUACUUGAUGUUCUAGGAUACCUUCCUUAAUUGUAGGACAUCUACUGAAUUAAAUUUUUUUCUUUUACAUAAACAGGCUGUGAAGAGAAUUGGGUUUUUCAACUUAUUUACAAGAAGCCUUCCUAUAAGGAUAAUAGUCGUUGGACCAGUUGUGGCCUUACAGUGGUUAUUCUAUGACUCUAUCAAAGUUUUAAGUGGAUUACCUACUAGUGGAGAAGUUAGAACUGAAGUAGAAAUAGAUGCAGCAAAGGUAUGAUGCUAAUAUAGUGUUGAUCAAAGCAACUACAGGCUACAAUCCUAUCCAAGAAACAAAGGAGGAGAACCACAUUUGUUUUGCCUUUGCAGGUUGAAUUCAAAUUCUUUUUGGAUGGUAGCUUUUUGAUGCCCUGCCAUCUGCUAACUUUCUGAAGGGAAGUUGUUACUUAGAUAUUGUAGAGCAACCACAUUUGAGUUAAAGCCUCGGUUGGAAACCUAGUAUAUCAAUUUUUAUGUUAGCAAUAUCAGUGCAACCUCAUUCAACAUGCACAUCCUGUGAUGUUUGGUCUGUCGAUGUUUCUCUUGCAAAUGAUAUGAUAAAGUAAAAUAGCAAUGCGCUUUGAUUUUUGGGGCCCCGUAUGUUAUAAGCAAUUUGUA